rnacentral:lncRNA from 1 species
UGCAUAUUUAUCUUCUUGUGCUUCCUCCUCUUAUCUCUUUGAAGAAUAGAGUUUGUUGCAGCAGUUGCUUAAAGAUAAAAAUCCAGAAGGUCAAAGAAACGGUUGUGCCUUGUUACAAUUGACUGAGAAAACCGUAUCUACUGUGGAAAUCAUUUCAUAGUACAAUAUGUAACUUGCUUGAGAUAUUUAUAACAAGCAAAUACAUUGUAUUGUGAAAUGAUUUAAUGAAUGUUUUCCAUAGAUCGGCUAUAAAAUGUCAUGAUCAACAACAGAUAUCGCUUCCAUGAAAGAGUAGAACGAGAAAAAGCAUGAAAACGAUAUAAAAUGUUACUGUAAACAAGAUUAUAUUUAAAUAUGAGCAGGUAAAAAGAACUUAUGAAAAGCUCGUAAAUCUGAAGCUAUUUAUCUUCAUAUCUGGAAGAAAACAGAUCAAACUGAAUGAAACGUGUGAUUAGAAAUUUCGUAGAAUUGCUCCGGUUUGUUUCAAUGUAUUAAAGAUCAUUUACAGUGGAAGUAUAUAUAGAGCGUAUAAACACGUGUUCGUUUAUCAUGCCUGCAUCCACCUACGUACUUACGACACGUGCACGAGCGGCAGUUCUGUUUACACGAACGAAAAGUACGCAAUUGCUUCUUCAUGAUGGCAAUAUUAUCAUUAUUGCAGUCCCUUUUGGCAAAAUUGGAGCUUACCGCAGUGAUCGAAUAUCAAAAAGAACUCGAGAUCAAGGGAUAAGAGGACAAAAAGCCUUCGCUGAAUACAUCACCUAAGAAAGUCAGGACACAAAGCAAAAAUAUUACGUGUACAGAAGAGAACACGAAAAUAAUAUUUCCGAGGAAUAUUUUAUCCGAAUACACAAUUGAGAGACAGACUGAAAGGCGAGAAAGGAUAGUCUCGACAUUGUAAAGUUAAUGCAGAUGUUGUCGGUGACGGGAAAAUCCGUUGGAUUGCGAAAGGAAGUCAGACAAGGAGACGUUUCCUGCGGGAUUUUUCGCUGUUGGGCUCGAAGAGGCCGAAUUUUCAUUGCGCGCCAGUCGUCCCGCUGCAUCGAACUCGACUCGGGCAAGCCCUCUUCAGACAAUAACGCGGUUCACACACGCCGAAUACAUACACUGAUUGUCGUUACCACGUGAUUACUCUGUGACCCGAUAUGUUCUGCGAUUAGAGCUGCGGCGCAAUAACGAUAUUCGCACACGAGAAUUGGAUGUGAAUCAAUUCUCGCCUACUGCGCAGAAUACAUUUCCCCGUGUAUGUACGUACAUCUCUUGCAUUGCGGCGUCAGCGCUUUCGAGCUAAACGGACGCAUUUUUCCGUAAGAUUGCGCAAGAACGCGAAAGUCCGCCUGACUCCCGGGCGAAAUAUUCGCGUCUCUACACGCUCUCACGCGCUCCCACGUCUCUUCCUCCUCAAACAUGCAUUUUGCGUUGCACUGUUACUCGUUGCAUCGUCCUGCAUAUCGUCGCUCUCUGACUGAUUUAAAUUAAGCUCUCUCGUAAAAUCAAUGCACGCGGACGAAUAUGUAUGUAUAGCGGAUGUACCGGUGAACGACGAUAAGUUGCAUUUUUCGUUUCUACCUUGAAUUGUCGUCGACGUCGUAAGUGUAUUCUUAUGUAACGAUACACUUACGGCAAAUUACGGCCGUACGGCCGUAUGCCGGUGAAAUCAAACGGAAAUCGUUUGGAUGAUGAUCGAUAAUUAUCAAAGAUUUAAACAUUGUAACGGACAAUUGGUUCGCAAUAAGCGAAUUCGUGCGGUAACUGACUAAGAUUAAUUGCACAAAUUUUACACAGCUUAAUUGGUCAUUGGCUAUUAGCUAUGUGCGAAUGUGUUAAUCAACAAUAUCAAAUCGAUCGACGAUUGCGGAGAAUGACUGCACCGCACCGCGUGUUCUACGCGAGCGAAUGAGAGACCUCGUCCGUGGAGGCGAUUGAAAAGGCGAAGUUCUUUGUACCGUGUUUCGGUAUUAUCGGCUCAUUAAAAUAAUAGUCGUGACUCACGCGUUCAGCCAUGGAGUGACGUAAAUCGACGAUGGCGUGUUUACCGUUCGCCUUAGAUACAUACGCAUGUAUCUGGGACACUAAUAAUUAGCAAUACUCUACACGUCUCACACGGGACCGAGCUCGCGUAAUGCUCUUCGUUCUUUCUCACCCGAUAGUUUCGACUGAAAAUACUCCUUGACGUGUGUGCGUUCGACGUAAGGCGUACGUAGGGCACGACGAACAUUGUUCCGCGCCGACGUUUUGUCUGAGCUUUCAAUGUCGCGCAAUACAUGCGAUCGCGGUUUGCUCCCGACGUUGCGUUUUUCGUUUUUCUUUCUCUUUUUCAAAAACGCGAAUUACUUUACUAGCAAUAAACAUCGGCUCAACCGGUAGAACCGGUAGA